rnacentral:rRNA from 1 species
GAUGAACGCUGGCGGCGUGCCUAAUACAUGCAAGUCGAGCGAACAGACGAGGAGCUUGCUCCUCUGACGUUAGCGGCGGACGGGUGAGUAGCACGUGGAUAACCUACCUAUAAGACUGGGAUAACUUCGGGAAACCGGAGCUAAUACCGGAUAAUAUAUUGAACCGCAUGGUUCAAUAGUGAAAGGCGGUUUUGCUGUCACUUAUAGAUGGAUCCGCGCCGCAUUAGCUAGUUGGUAAGGUAACGGCUUACCAAGGCAACGAUGCGUAGCCGACCUGAGAGGGUGAUCGGCCACACUGGAACUGAGACACGGUCCAGACUCCUACGGGAGGCAGCAGUAGGGAAUCUUCCGCAAUGGGCGAAAGCCUGACGGAGCAACGCCGCGUGAGUGAUGAAGGUCUUCGGAUCGUAAAACUCUGUUAUUAGGGAAGAACAAAUGUGUAAGUAACUAUGCACGUCUUGACGGUACCUAAUCAGAAAGCCACGGCUAACUACGUG